GCCUUUAGUCAUUACAAUUAGCUUUGAAUAAAAACAAUAGAAGUCUUGAUGUCAGCUACUGUAGGUAAACUGAUGUAUUUGUGUGAGUGGACAUUCCUUCAUUCACGCAGUACUCAGGAAGGGUCAGAUAUGUUUACUCAUGUGUUUGUGUGAGGGAGGUUGAUUGCGACCCUAUAAAAGUUUGUUUGUUCAGCAGUACCUAGGAGCUAACGGGAGCUGACCCGCCAUUCAAAACCCAACAGGAUUCUGGGAACAGACGCUUUCUGCGUUACCCGGCACCGUCAAUCUCUCUUACCUGUCGCAUGUGUCACAUCAGAGCGAGAAAAAGAGAGAGGGUCAGGAAGAAAGUGACACUGGAGAGACAACACGAGAUGGGAAGGUGACCUCACUUCUGCUGUGCUCUGGUUCCCAUUGCUGUCCAACAGGGAAAGAUAAAUGGGACCACCGUGUCCGAUCAGAGUCAUCUUCACAUCUCGAGGUGUUAAUGUGAAGGGUGACAGCUGUCGGUGACCUCUGACCUUUCCCAGAGUCCUCUGUUCUGAUCUCCGUUACUGCGCCAAUUUUUCCGGUCCAUAAACAUGUCAGUUUUGUGUUUGUGUGCUGUGAGUACAACCAUAUGUACAUCCGCAUCUAACCUUUGAUGCCGCCUAAAGCAGAUGCUGACAGGUAC
ensembl:lncRNA